UGGACUGUCGAGUAAGCAGUCUGGCUGGCGGUAGCAUUGCUGCGGCUGGAAUGGGGGGCUUGGCCCCGGGCCAAUUGUGGUUAGAAUGGCUCAGCGUAGAGUGUAACUAACUACCAAGUUUAACGUUUGGUAGGUGACUCAACGUCGCCUUCUACGGGGCCGCAGUGCCCAGUGAGGCUGUGCUAAUUCUUUUGAGCACGGUAGCUUGGCUAACUAAUAUCCAUUCAACUGAAUGACCUGCUUUUUGCAUGAUAUUGCUGUGCAACAGCAAUUCUGAGUCAGAACUGGACGACAAUGAAGGGGUGUUGUACUCCCCUCACUGCUCUCUGGCGCGCCGGGUCUGCAGUGGAGCUGUUACCAGAGGAUUUCGGAAGCAGUAUCUAACUGGAGCAAUGGGACGCUUCCUGAGUGGCAACAUCAGAGUCCCGUUGUCUUCUGCAAUGGAGGAGAGCAGCGAUGAAAACUUAACAUUCCUUUCACCUGAUGUUGGAUAGAUGUUUUUUUUUUUUAAGAUCAUAAAAAACACCUACCGGGGAGUGUUUACCCCCAUCUUGUAACCUUUUAAUUUCCUUAGGCGUUUUUUGUGCGUCUUUGUUUUCUUGUUUGUUUGUUUUUUUUUGGCUGACUGAUGGUAUGAGGUAAAGCUUUACCAUGAGAAUGGGACGUGGUUCCCAUCUGUAUGUCAGGUUUUUAUUUCAUUAAUGUGUUAGGAAUACUCGGGACUCUAAGCCUUGAUGAUAUUUUAACCUUCUUGGGGGGGGGGAGGGGUGGGGGGUUUGGUGGGAGAGACGCCAAAAAAAAGACACAAAGCAACCUGAGGUAGAGCUGAGGAGGAGGCUGGAGCUGACCUAGAAGCCCAUGCGUCUGUGUUUACAAGCCCCACGGGUUGCCCGGUGUGGCCGACAGCGCUUGCAGCAGCAUGUCUUCCACUUGUCCACUCAAUACACUUUGCACUGCUUGUUUCAUUUGCCACAUCCACCGUACAUAUCGCUCUGUUCGUAAACCCCAGGAACCAUCGUCGACAUUUGUCAGGAGUCCCAACACCUGAUUUUGAAAAAAUGUAUUCAAGCCUAACACAGAUCUUGUAUUUGUUAAUUCAUCCCUCCCCCGGUUUAUAUGCUUGUUCACAAAGAAAAAAAACUUUGAUCAGGGUCACAAAAGGGUCUGCGUUAAUUGUGUAUGUAAGUUGUACGCCAGUUAAAACAUGUGCACCUGUUUUAUGAAAGAGAUGGCAAAAACCUCACAAAUCCUACAGAGAACAAAACACUCUACGGUCUACAGGCACACACUCCAUGUGUGCCCACAACCAGCUUUCCUGUGUCAUACACUAAAGGUCUAUGUUUAACCUCAUACGGACACUAUACAGAUUAUCUGACGUCACUAUCCACACUCUUGACAGUUAUUUACUGAGGCUAAGAGUCCCUGCUUACCAUGUAUUUUACUAAGUGCUUUCGGAGAUCAUGGUGUGUUCAUUUUGUUUUGUUAUUAGAAUGUUGCUUUUUACUUUUAUUUUUUAUUUUAUUUUUUUUUGGUUAUGUUUGCUUUGCUAGUAUAAAAAAAGAUAUCUAUAAUCAUGUGCGUUGUGAUAUAGAAGUAGCUGUAGAAAUGCAUUGUUUCCUUGUGGUAAGUGAUUGAGAUGCUGCCACGGAUUUGAGACACUGAUGAAUGGUGCUAUUUUGGACUUUAAUCUGCUCCUUGGUAAGGUAGCUCUGGUGGGUUUCGUUUUAUAUUUUCAUGUUCUGAGAAGGUGUUGGUUCUUUGUGGUCUGGUUGUUGUAACUUGGUCUGGAUUGACUGGUUUUGUUUUGGGUUUUUUUCUGUCGUUUUUUUCUGUGCGGCUUUCUCAUUGGAUUUAUGGGUGAAACAAACAAAAAAGAUAAAAAUAGGCAGAGGUGAUAUAUUUUCAGAAGGUGGAGAUCCAAUCACUUGUGGAGGGUGGGAGCAAUCACAAAACUGCAAUCCUUUGAAAGAGCUGUUUUGCCCCUCAGCACAGAUUAGACUUGGAUAUGAUAGUUAUAGGCUAGUUCCCAGCACAGGUCACUUUUAGGAAAUGUAAUUCUCCCUUCUUUUUAUGUGCCACAUGGAGAGUCACAUAAACUAUAUAUUAAAAAGUGUAUAUUGUGGCGCAGUACUGUCCUGAGUACAUCACCCUGAUAUUUGCACAUUGCAUAUUAAGACUGCUUCCAUCAAUCAAUCAAUUAAUCAAUUAAUCAGUCAGUUAAAGGAAACUCUGAACACAUGCCACAGCUUUAGAUGAGCUUUUUGCUUCUUCCAUUGCUUUGCAUAGUUUAGAGGCUAUAAUGUUGUGGGGCUGGGGGAGGGUACAAAAUGGUGGACCAUUUUACCCACAGUCCCCUUGAAAAAUCCAUGCACCUUCGUCAGACGGCACUCGUUUGGGGUUCAGGGUGUUAGUUGCUGCAUCUUAACCAGCAGGCGAUGGAUGACCUGUACAUCUAGAAGUUAACUGGUCAGACAGUCAAACUGAAAUUGUGAUGCACAUAAUUUUUUUUAGAAAUGCAUUUUUCCAAAUAUGUAGCAUAAAGAAGCUGAACAAUCUUCAUAAUAACUUACCUAUUUUGUAAAGUAAUGUUUAAAAAGAAUUUUCUUUGAUAAAAUAUGAACCAAAAAGCUUUCUAUGAAUUAUUUUGGCUAGUGAGGUUAACUUAACAGAGUAUUGUUAUUCAGUAUUUGCAGUUUUGUCUUUGCUUCCUGGCUAUUCAUACUUUUAACUGUCUCAAUAUGAUGACCAACUUGAAAGCCCACGUUAGUUUCUUUGUCUUCCAGUAUUACAUUAGAAUGGGGGGCCCUCCUAGCUUAUUGUAGUCUUUCCUUGACUUGAAUAUUCUGUCCACUUGCAUGUUCUGUGCUGUUUUGUUUUUCUUCAGUACUUCUUUUUCAAAUAUUCUUCCUCAUAGACUAGGUAUGCCAGCUGUCUUGUAUAUAGCAAGUGACUAGUGUAGGCAGGGUCUGCAACAGUAUGAGAUAUUCUGUAUUAUUGAAUGUGUAUGAUUGGUUUAAAAACCUAAUGGAAAAAAAGAAAAACACACAAAGCCAGCUUAGUUACAAUAUCUUAAUAAUGAUGCACUGAUAGUAUUCCAUGUAUUUUUUGCAAAUUUAGCUGUAGUUAAAUAAAUUUGCAAGCUUUGAAAAAUCA